ACGGAGGGUCCAAGCGUUAUCCGGAUUUAUUGGGUUUAAAGGGUGCGCAGGUGGGAAUGUAAGUCAGUGGUGAAAUUUUGCGGCUUAACCGUAAAACUGCCAUUGAUACUGCAUUUCUUGAAUAUGGUUGAGGUAGGCGGAAUGUGUCGUGUAGCGGUGAAAUGCAUAGAUAUGACACAGAACGCCAAUUGCGAAGGCAGCUUACUAAGCCAUUAUUGACGCUGAGGCACGAAAGCGUGGGGAGCGAACAGG
rnacentral:rRNA from 1 species